GACCACAACACAGGUAUUUCAGCUGUGCUAAGCAGCAGCAUUUACUCCUCCCCAUUUCAUUCGUUGUUCCCCUUGCAGAGUCAUUUCCGACAGCUCCGCUAUCUUGGGGCUCUUGGAGGGGACGUGUGGGUUUCUGAGUCUCUCUCACACAUGCAGGAAGCUUGGUCUCAGCAUGCUCCUUGGCUACCUCAUCCUUGCUGCCUUCCUGAGGAAACCGCUGGGAGCAAUGGGACAGACUCAGCAAGAAGGGCAAGUCACAGUAAAGGAGAGAGACACUUUCCAGACCACCUGCACUUAUCAGAGUACCAGCUUUGACGCCUUGCUUUGGUACCAGCAAAGGAAAGACCAAGCCCCACAUCUCAUCUCGUAUCAGGCACUUGCUGGCCCCAAGCAGAGCGGCCGUUUCAGCACUCUGCUGAACACCACAAGCAAAUACAGCCUCCUGAAGCUGCAGGAGGUCGAGCUCUCCGACAGUGCCUUGUACCUCUGUGCUGGGCAAGACACCCUGGUGCAGGCAGCUGCCCCAGCUGUGCAAUAACACAGGGAGGGAGGGUUUGAGGGGAG